rnacentral:rRNA from 1 species
UACAGAGGGGGCAAGCGUUGUUCGGAAUUACUGGGCGUAAAGGGCGCAUAGGCGGCCUGUUAAGUCGGACGUGAAAUCCCUCGGCUCAACCGGGGAACUGCGUCCGAUACUGGCGGGCUUGAAUUCGGGAGAGGGGUGUGGAAUUCCAGGUGUAGCGGUGAAAUGCGUAGAUAUCUGGAGGAACACCGGUGGCGAAGGCGGCAUCCUGGACCGACAUUGACGCUGAGGCGCGAAAGCCAGGGGAGCAAACGGG